rnacentral:rRNA from 1 species
GGUGAACGCUGGCGGCGUGCUUAAGACAUGCAAGUCGAACGGCAGUCUUCGGACUGUAGUGGCGCACGGGUGAGUAACGCGUAACUGACCUACCCCAAAGUCGCGGAUAACGAUUCGAAAGAAUCGCUAAUACGUGAUGUGCUGUCAGAUUGUGUUCUGCCAGUAAAGAUUGAUUGCUUUGGGAUGGGGUUGCGUUCCAUCAGCUAGUUGGUGGGGUAAAGGCCCACCAAGGCGACGGCGGAUAGCCGGCCUGAGAGGGUGGCCGGCCACAGGGGCACUGAGACACGGGUCCCACUCCUACGGGAGGCAGCAGUUAGGAAUCUUCCACAAUGGGCGAAAGCCUGAUAGAGCGACGCCGCGUGAGGGAUGAAGGUCUUCGGAUCGUAAACCUCUGAAUCAGGGACGAAAGACACUUCGGUGGGAUGACGGUACCUGAGUAAUAGCACCGGCUAACUCCGUGCCAGCCGCCGCCGUAAAAC